rnacentral:rRNA from 1 species
CCAACCCCUGUGAACAUACCACUUGUUGCCUCGGCGGAUCAGCCCGCUCCCGGUAAAACGGGACGGCCCGCCAGAGGACCCCUAAACUCUGUUUCUAUAUGUAACUUCUGAGUAAAACCAUAAAUAAAUCAAAACUUUCAACAACGGAUCUCUUGGUUCUGGCAUCGAUGAAGAACGCAGCAAAAUGCGAUAAGUAAUGUGAAUUGCAGAAUUCAGUGAAUCAUCGAAUCUUUGAACGCACAUUGCGCCCGCCAGUAUUCUGGCGGGCAUGCCUGUUCGAGCGUCAUUUCAACCCUCAAGCACAGCUUGGUGUUGGGACUCGCGUUAAUUCGCGUUCCCCAAAUUGAUUGGCGGUCACGUCGAGCUUCCAUAGCGUAGUAGUAAAACCCUCGUUACUGGUAAUCGUCGCGGCCACGCCGUUAAACCCCAACUUCUGAAUGUUGACCUCGGAUCAGGUAGGAAUACCCGCUGAACUUAAGCAUAUCAAUAAGACGGAGGAAG